rnacentral:rRNA from 1 species
CGCGUUGGAUUGGAUGGGCGCUUGUGUGUUCAGCCUUCGGGUGCAUUGGCACAAGUGCUUAUCCGCCGUGAGUUCUCGGGGAUCGAUUUUGGAUCUCUGGGGACUGAGGGCUCCCCUUUUUGGGUGAGGACGGCGGAGUGACGACGCGAUACGACCCGUCUUGAAACACGGACCAAGGAGUCUAGCGCGGGUGCGAGUCGGAGGGUGCAAGCCCGUGGGCGAAGUGAAAGCGAGUUUUAAAAACUAGCAGUUUGGGGCGGCAUAAGAUCGUUGAUCUUAAGACCGACCCAGAGCAGUUGCGCUGGGACCCGAAAGAUGGUGAACUAUGCCCGGAGUAGGGCAAAGCCAGAGGAAACUCUGGUGGAGGCUCGUAGCGGUGCUGACGUGCAAAUCGCUCGUCGAACUUGGGUAUAGGGGCGAAAGACUAAUCGAACCAUCUAGUAGCUGGUUCCCUCCGAAGUUUCUCUCAGGAUAGCGGGCCGACAAGUUGUUUUGUGCGGUAAAGCGAAUGAUUAGCGCAUUUCGGGGGCGUUUAGCCUUCGGGCGAUUCUCAAACUUUCAAUGCGCAAGGGUGCCGCUGCUUAAUUGAGCGGUACCGGUAAAAACGUCGGCCCUGUGGGCCACUUUUGGUAAGCAGAACUGGCGAUACGGGAUGAACCGUAAGCAAGGUUAAGGCGCCAAACUGCCCGCUUAUAGACCCCACAAAAGGUGUUGAUUCAUCGAGACAGCAGGACGGUGGCCAUGGAAGUCGGAAUCCGCCAAGGAGUGUGUAAAAACUCACCUGCCGAAUGAAUUAGCCCUGAAAAUGGAUGGCGCUGAAGCGGGCGGCCGACACCUUGCCGUCUGAAUAAGACUUUCAGAUGAGUAGGAGGGCGUGGCGGCCGUGUCGAAGCGCGCGUGCAGACGCGUGUGGAACAGCCGCUAGUGCAGAUCUUGGUGGUAGUAGCAAGUAUUCAAGCGAGAUCCUUGAAGGCGAAGUGGGGAAGGGUUUCACGCGACAUUGAUUGGGCGUGAGUGAGUCGUUCCUAAGCCGAGUGGCAAUUGCUAAUUACGCGAAAGGGAACGGGUUGACAUUCCGCACCGGAUGUGAG